GAUGAACGCUAGCGGCAGGCCUAACACAUGCAAGUCGAGGGAGGAGCCUUCGGGCUUCGACCGGCGUACGGGUGCGUAACGCGUAUACAAUCUGCCUUUCACAUAGGGAUAGCCCGAAGAAAUUUGGAUUAAUACCUAAUGGUAUAUAGAUGUGGCAUCACCUUUAUAUUAAAGCUGAGGCGGUGAAAGAUGAGUAUGCGUUCUAUUGGCUAGUUGGAGAGGUAACGGCUCCCCAAGGCGACGAUAGAUAGGGGUUCUGAGAGGGAUAUCCCCCACACUGGUACUGAGAUACGGACCAGACUCCUACGGGAGGCAGCAGUGAGGAAUAUUGGACAAUGGUCGGAAGACUGAUCCAGCCAUGCCGCGUGCAGGAAGACGGCCUUAUGGGUUGUAAACUGCUUUUGCAGGGGAAGAAUAAGGACUACGCGUAGUUUGAUGACGGUACUCUGCGAAUAAGCAUCGGCUAACUCCGUG
rnacentral:rRNA from 1 species